rnacentral:rRNA from 1 species
GAUGAACGCUGGCGGCGUGCCUAACACAUGCAAGUCGAACGGAGAUUACGGACGGAAGUUUUCGGAUGGAAGACUGUACUUCUUAGUGGCGGACGGGUGAGUAACGCGUGGGCAACCUGCCCUAUACAGGGGGAUAGCAGCUGGAAACGGCUGGUAAGACCGCAUAAGUCGGUUAAAUCGCAUGAUUUGAUCGGGAAAUGAGCAAUCAGGUAUAGGAUGGGCCCGCGUCCGAUUAGCCAGUUGGGAGGGGAAAAGCCUACCAAAGCGACGAUCGGUAGCCGGACUGAGAGGUAGGACGGCCACAUUGGGACUGGGACACGGCCCAAACUCCUACGGGAGGCAGCAGUGGGGGAUAUUGCACAAUGGAGGAAACUCUGAUGCAGCGACGCCGCGUGAGUGAAGAAGUAUUUCGGUAUGUAAAGCUCUAUCAGCAGGGAAGAUGAUGACGGUACCUGAAGAAGAAGCCCCGGCUAACUACGUG